UAACGCGUGGAUAACCUGCCUCACACAGGGGGAUAACAGUUAGAAAUGACUGCUAAUACCGCAUAAGCGCACGGCAUCGCAUGAUGCAGUGUGAAAAACUCCGGUGGUGUGAGAUGGAUCCGCGUCUGAUUAGGUAGUUGGUGGGGUAACGGCCUACCAAGCCGACGAUCAGUAGCCGACCUGAGAGGGUGACCGGCCACAUUGGGACUGAGACACGGCCCAA
rnacentral:rRNA from 1 species